AGCACUGUACAUUCACUGCCCCCACCUACAAUCCCUGCCGGUACGAGACUCGAACCCGCAACCUUUGGGUUACGAGUCCGACUCUCUAACCAUUAGGCCACAACUUUGAUUUGUUAUGAUGUGAAUUUCAAAAUAAUUUCUCCACUUCGUUUGAGCAGAUGUUGGUGUUUUUGAAAGAGGUGUGUUGUUGAUAUCUUUAACACGAUGCUCUUGCAGAUAGACUCACGUAGCAGCGGGUUGGCGGCACGCUGCAGGAGCUGUUGUGUCUGGCUCAUGGCAAGUUCUGCACUGCAGAUCACACUGUCUGCAGCCCGUUCAACAUUUUCCAUCGUGUUGCUCACUGGGCCUUGGAUAACCAAGGGUUCCUCUGUAUCAGUGAAGAAGAAACCAGCAAUGGAGUGUCUCAGGGAAACCCGAACUAAUUACCCCACUCAACUUUGGAGCAGGUGUAUAAGCAUAUUCUGCCACCUGGAGUUCACAAGUUACUGUUCGGG
rnacentral:lncRNA from 1 species